GAUGAAUGUAGGGAAGUGGUGUUAAAUUCCUGGGCUCCUCCAAUCCAGCACCAACAAGGUUUGGUAGGGAAGAUACAUGAUGUUCAAACUGCACUCUCUAAAUGAAGCAAGAAGAAGUUUGUAAAUGGAAAGAAGGAAAUUAGCAAGUUGAAGCAGGAAAUAGUGUGCUUAACUAAUAACACUUCAGAUUCCUUUAACAAGGAACACUUUAAAAAGAUACAAGAAGAAAUUGAAGAGCUUGGGAGGCAAGAAGAAAUGUAUUGGGGGUUACGCUUUAGAAUCAAUUGGUUGAGAUGGGGGAAUCAAAAUUCAAAAUAUUUCCACGCAACAACUAUUCAAAGAAGACAGAGGAACAUAAUUUCCAUGCUUCAAAAUACAGAAAAUGCAUGGCUGGUUGAGCAGAAUCAGUUGAAGGAACAUACGUUACAGUUUUUCAAGAAGCUUUACGAAUCAAUGGCUCUCGGAAUUUUGAACCAGUGAUAAACCAGCUGCCUGCAUUAGUCACAAAUGAUAUGAACAGAAUGUUUUUUUUUUGAUGACCCAGGAAACCUCGUAAGCCGACAGCCGGCGGGCAAACCCUGGAGCGACGCUAGUGGAGGACCCAUCACCCUGACGUCGCACUUAAGAUCCCGUGCGGCUAGCAAGAUUCGAACUCCUCUCCUCCUCGCAAAGGAUCAUGGGAGCCUUAUCUAACUGGGCCACCGCAGGUGGUGGUAUAUGAACAGAAUGUUAAUUGCUGAAGUAAAUUUAAAAGAGGUGACAGAAGCAGUAUUUUAGCUAGGAUCCACUAAAGCUCCGGGCCCGGAUGGUCUUAAUGGACUUUUCUAUCAUCAUCACUGGGAAGACAUCAAAUGGAACAUGUUUGAGGAGGUGCAAAAUUUUAUGAACACCGGUUAUCUAUCACCAACUCUAAACAUAACAUCUCUCUCCCUAAUCCCAAAGGUUCCGAAUCCGGAGAGGUUAGACCAAUAUAGGCCAAUUAGCUUAUACAACUUUGCCUACAAGAUUAUCUCCAAAGUGCUGGUUAACAGACUUAAAACUUUAUUACCAGCAAUUAUAGCACCGGCACAAAGCGCUUUUGUAGGAGGGCGGCAAAUUCAGGAUAACAUUUUUAUUGUUCAGGAGGUCCUGCAUCAGAUUAGACUCAGAAGUAGAAAAAAGAAAUUCCAAGCACUUCUCAAAUUAGACAUGAAGAAGGCCUAUGAUCGAGUAGAAUGGGAUUUCUUAGAGGCAUGCCUACUAAAGACUGGUUUUGAUGAGAAAUUGGUGAAAUGGGUAAUGCAAUGUGUUACCACGGUCACAUUUAGCGUUAAUUUUAAUGGAGAACCUCUUCAGUAUUUUCAACUUUCCAGAGGGCUCAGGCAAGGGGAUCCCUUAUCUCCUUAUCUAUUUAUUAUUGUGGCAAAUGUGUUAUCCUUAUUGAUGAAAGAGGCUGUGGAAAAUGGUAGUAUCACAGGAAUUAAGCUAAAUAGAAGUUGCCCUACUCUGUCUCACUAACUAUUUGCCGAUGAUUCGAUCUUUUUUAUGAAAGGAACUAUUCUUGAAUGUCAAAAUCUGGCCAUGAUCUUGAAUCAAUAUUGUCUAGCUGCUGGACAGGAGAUUAAUUUAAACAAAUCCGAUAUUUUCUUCAGUAGGGGAUGUCCUCAAUCUUUGAAAGAGAACAUGGCAAGGGAAUUGCGGGUUCCUAUUAUAGACAAAACCGGCAAAUAUCUGGGUAUUCCUUCUAAUUGGGGAGGGUCGAAAAAGCAAAUGUUUGCAUGGAUUCUCGGGAGAAUUAGUUCAAAGCUGGAAAGUUGGAAGGAAAAGCUUCCAUCAAAAGCCGGUAAAGAAAUUUUACUGAAAACAGUGGUUCAAGCAUUACCACAAUAUGCAAUGUCAGUGUUUAAAAUCCCGGUUUCUAUAUGCAAGGCUAUUGAAAAGAAAAUUGCUUCAUUUUGGUGGAAGACUAAUGAGAAGAAAACAGGCAUUCAUUGGAGGAGCUGGGAUAUCUUAAAGACAAGAAAAGAUAAAGGUGGAAUGGGCUUCAGAGAUCUUCUUUCUUUUAAUAAGCAAUGUUGGGGAAACAGGCUUGGCGGCUUGGACAAGAUUCAACCUCUCUAUGGAGCAGCUUGUUUAAGGGAUUAUAUUAUCCUCAGACAGACUUUUGGCAUGCAGCUAAGGGCCCUCACCCUUCGUGGGGUUGGCAAAGCUUGGUCUAUGGAAGAAAUUCAAUAGCACCCCAAGUAAUGUGGAAAGUAGGAGAUGGAUCAAAGAUCAAAAUCAGGGAGGAUAAAUGGCUGCAAAGAGGUAUUAUUGAGGGUCCUGUAAAUGUUAAUGAAUCCUCUUUAGUAUCGGAACUUAUUAAUAAGGAGGAAGGUAGAUGGGAUGAAAGGUCCGUAGUAGCACAUUUUGAGGAUAAUUUAGCAGAAGAAAUUCUAACUAUACCAAUUAAUCCUCAGACAUAAGAAGACCAGCUUGUAUGGACCGGUAAUCAAGCAGGAAAAUAUUCAGUCAAAAGUGGGUAUUACUGCAUAAAGAAAACCGUGGAGUCAAUCAAAAGUGGGUAUUACUGCAUAAAGAAAACCAUGGAGCAAUGUAAUGCGAGCCAAGCCACAACAUCGUUUCAACCUCCCCCCUCACUCUGGAAGAAUAUUUGGACACUGAAUACUCCACCUAAGAUACGAAUUUUCAUGUGGAAUUUAUGCCAAAACGCUCUCCCAACGAAGGAUAAUCUGUUUAGAAGGAAAAUAUUACCUAACCCCAUAUGCCCAUUGUGUAGCCAUGAAAGGGAAACGGCUAAGCACCUCUUCCUGCUCUGUUCUUGGACAAGACAAAUAUGGGAUAAUC
rnacentral:lncRNA from 1 species